CGCACGACGUCCGCCGAGAUGGAGGAGCGCGCCGUGCGUCGGGGUGACAUCACUGGGGCGCCGAACGUCUGCCGAGUGAAGCCUGGAAAAAAGGAAGGGAACACAAAGAAAAUCAGACUACAAGCUACACUGAUGAAGACCAAAAGUAGAGAUGAUGGAAUGACAGCAGAGUGACUGUUACCAAUGCAAGGAAGAUCGUUUUUGUUAACUGGAGUCUUUGAAGAUGGAAGCAUGGGAUCUGAUCUCAAGCACAGGAGAGUGAGGUAAAGCCCAGGAGGACUACUGUGGAGACUGAAGGCUGAACUGGCUCAAUUCCAAUGUUUAUAAAAUGAUGUCAUGGUGAGGAUGUUUUUGGCUGUAGAAGCACACGAAGACAUGCCUUAUCAUCUAAGCUUGUUGACUGUGAAUGUGUAUCCUGUGGGUGUUUCUUGUUCAGCAUUUUUCCAAAGGGUCAUGUCAAGUUAGUUCAGGUUUACUUUUUUUUUUUUUUUCGUUUCAUUUUGAUUUUUUUUUACAUACACUUUCUUUUUCAAAAAUUUAUUUAUUUAUGGGGCCGGCGCCAUGGCGCAGUAGGUUAAUCCUCUGCCUGAGGUGCUGGCAUCCCAUAUGGGUGCCAGUUCUGGUCUGGCUGCUCCUCUUCCAGUCCAGCUCUCUGCUAUGGCCUGGGAAAGCAGUCGAAGAUGGCCCAAGUCCUUGGGCCCCUGCAUUCA